CUAGAAGCUUCCCACACCAUUGCUGGGGAUGUGUUUUCUCUAGGCUUAUGUUGAUAGUUUUCCGGUUAAAGAGUUUCACCUGAAAAAAAAAAGUUUCACCUGUUUCUCUUUUACGAGCUCCUAUUCUCUUCCUCCCUCUGGCGUCUGUCUGCAGUACUGCAGCAUCUGCCGCUUGACCUCUCACUGACUACCGCCAAAGGAAGUGAGCAGAGGUUUCCCGCCAGAGCUCCAGGUCAGGCGAGUCAGCCUCCCGAAAAGCUGGAACAUUCGGCAUAGUUCAGCUCUUCUCUUCCUCUCCUCGGGAUGAGACCCAAGCUGCACAUUUUCUCAAAUUGCGUGAGCUGUGACACCUAAAGGGUUACUAAAGCUUUGGCUACAGCAUGGCAGCCUAGACUUCGAGAGACAAGAUACAGAACUUGACAGUCGUCUUAAAAGGUUAAGAGAUGUGUCUAGUAAGAAGAUACUAUGGGCCGAUGUCAAACAAGUUGCUACCAGUGUUCCCCUCUAGGAUUUUGGUGGUUUCCUGUCUCACAUUCAGAGAGAAGAUAUUUGGAAGUCUCUUCCAAAUCAGAAGUGGACUUCCUGAACUUUACUCUGAUUAUACCAUUCAAGUUACCUGCCAUCACGGAACCAGUUACUACAUCAAAGAGAUGCCUUCUACUGCUUAGUUCAAACCAGAUUUCAUGCAGCAGCCUGAGUCAGGCCAUAUAGCAAGGGUUGUGGGACUUGCUUGAAUUUACAAAUAACAUAGGCAAAUCCAGAGACAUCAUUCUAUAUGAAACAAAGUUAAAUGUAUCCAAAUAGCACAACUCUUUACAAUUCCAGAGGAUGGGCUAGGAAAGUAACCAUAAUAUAUGCUACAAAUGGCAAUUUGGUUUUACUUUGAUUGCUUAUGUUAAUCCAUAUUAUCCAUAUUAUCUAAAUAGCAAAAAAAAAAGGGGGGGGGGAGAAAGAAAAGGAAAAGGAAAGAAAGGAAGAAAACUAUGUCAAUAAUGGUUUGCAUUCAAUAAGCAUACAGUUUAGCUGCAGUGGGAAAAAAAAUCAUGAAUCAGUGGUAAUAUAUUUAACCCCUGUGGUGGUCAAAAAUUAAGGGACAGAGAAAAGAUAAAUUUGAGAUGAUAAAGUUGUCAAGUUAAUAGUUAAGGCAAUAUUGCUUAUGGAUGAAAGUAGAAAAUUUCAUUCAAACAUUGAGACAUCAUGAACAAAUACUCUCUAUCACUAUAUGUGUAUAUAUGUGUGUAUGUUGCAUAUUGUAUUUUGUUCCAAUUUUAGUAUAUGUGCAACUGAAGCAAGCACCUUAUUUCAAGAUUUCGAAAGCUUAAAAUCAUCUAUGCCAAAAUUUGGUUCCCCCUUUUUUUACUCAAGAUAGAAAUUGGUAGCCUAGGAUCUUAAGGCUACACAUCUUCCAUUUUGCAAUACUAUAGAAAAAUAAAUAGUAAGUACCAUUGCCCUUAUAAUACAAAUCAUUAGGUACCAAAGUGGUAUUUUAUAGGAAACCAUAUUAUAAAAUUAUAGAACCAAAUUAUAGAAAAACCCAAAUGAAACAUAAGACUGAUUUUAUUGCAUUUGGUGGAAAAUAUAUUUUUGAUUUAAAUAUGAAUAACAUAUAAUAUAUUGAGGCCCCUUAAGUUUUCUCACAUAUAAUAUAGUAGACUUACUAUCAAAAUUCACACGAUCAGCUCAUUCUGUGUUUAUUAUCCAAUAUGUCUAUGUCUGUUUCUGCUUUCUGAAGCCAAAACUCCUAUUCUUCUUUUACUUUUUAAAAAUGUUUAUUUAUUUAUUUUAAGAGAGACACCACAAGCAGGGGAGAGGGGCAGAGAGGGAGAGAGAAUCCCGAGC